GAUUGUUAGACGAAGUCACGAAGCUGUAGAUGAUACUCAAACUUGGGUGGCACUUUGGUGGGUCAAUUUCGGCAAAAGAGUUCUAUCUUCCUAUAAGUUGAACUAAAGCAAAGCAUAGGAACCUUUUUUAGUGUGACGACAAAAAAAAAAAAAGGCACCGUUAAGUGACGUCACAAUCGGAGCGUGGAAGCACACGCACUUUGAGUCUUUGACUAUGCGCAUGAACUUUUGCACCAGCCAGAGGUGGGGUUUUGAAGGGGCUCGGCUGACAGCGGAGGCGAAGGCUAUGUUUGGCUCCCACAAUCCAUCAAUCGCCGACUCUAUAACGUUACUUUGGGAAACCAACUAGUAUUUGUGACUUUUCUAUAAAAAAAAAGUUGACCUUGAAAGUGUAUAUUGAAAUGAUUCCAUUACUUACAAUAUAAUUGGUUCCAUCGAUGACUAUUGUAGUUUUUAGAAAAUAAUAAUUCAACCUACUAUUUUAGAUGGUAUUGUAAAACAUAGGUGUUCAAUCGCCUUUUGCUACCGUCAACUUGAACCGCUUUUACAAACCGCCAAGAAAAAAAAAAAACCAACCGUUUUGCUGAUCCACCAAAUACGUUUAGCCAACCACAAUGGUUGUUGUUGAUGUUGUCUUGUUGACUAAUGACUACCACCAAUCAAAGCAAAACAAGCAAACAAAAAAAAAAUCUCUUUAUUGAUAAUGCAAUGGCAAUCUCGCAGCCGCGAUUUCAAAACGCUAACACACACACGUCGACAAAAGAACCUGGGAACCAAAACAGAGACGUUUUAGUGAAGUAAAGUGUCGGAGAGAAGAAAGCAAAGAACAACCAAACGUUACUGUCUCAGGUUUGCUGUGUCUUUGUCUUCUUCCAUAAAUCUCUUUCUCCUCUCCUCUCUUUCUCGAUCGAUUGAGAGAGAGAGGGAGAGAGAGAGAGAGAGAGAUUAAGCAAAUCUGGUGUUUUUUUUAGAAAAAUGGGAUCUUCUUCUGGACAAAGUGGAUACGAUCUGUCGUUUAAGAUCUUGUUGAUUGGUGAUUCUGGUGUUGGUAAAAGCAGUUUGCUUGUCAGCUUCAUUUCCAACUCCGUUGAAGAUCUUGCUCCUACUAUUGGUAACUUGUGUUUCUCUCUUUGAAUUCUCGAG